CAUGUAAAUCCUACAAUUUUAAUGCACUGGAUCCCAUUAGAACUCUAUAGUUAAUCAUGCUUGGGAUAGAGUAGUACUGAGAUGGAUGACCUCUUGGGAAGUCCUAGUGUUUUACAUGC
rfam:Picea glauca, whole genome shotgun sequence.